rnacentral:misc_RNA from 1 species
UUGAGGGCUGAAGGAGCAGUAUAAGAUCAUGUUUGAUGUCAGUUAGUUUUCCACAAUUGUCUGGAUGCCUGGUAUUGAUUGCAACUGUCUUUUGGGUUCAUCCAGUCAACCAAAGAGAAGACGAGAAUAAAACUUGUGAAUCAACCUUCCUGUGGAAGUAGACAAUAUUGAAGAAAAGUCUUGUUUUGUAGAAUAAGCGUCAGUUGGAG